AUGUUGGUUAAGUCCCGCAACGAGCGCAACCUUUUCCUUAUUUGCCAGCGGUUAAGCCGGGAACUUUAAGGAUACUGCCAGUGACAAACUGGAGGAAGGCGGGGACGACGUCAAGUCAUCAUGGCCCUUACGACCAGGGCUACACACGUGCUACAAUGGUCGGUACAAAGGGUUGCUACCUAGCGAUAGGAUGCUAAUCUCAAAAAGCCGAUCGUAGUCCGGAUUGGAGUCUGCAACUCGACUCCAUGAAGUCGGAAUCGCUAGUAAUCGCGGAUCAGAAUGCCGCGGUGAAUACGUUCCCGGGCCUU
rnacentral:rRNA from 1 species